AAAAAAUUUAAAAAUAUACUUGAAAAUUUUUUCUUGAUAGAUGAUGAUUUUUAAAAAGAGGAAGUUUAAAAAGUGUUAUGGGUUGACUGUCUGUAUCCCCCCACCAAAUUCAUAUGUUGAAAUCCUAACCCCCACCGUGAUUUUACACAGAAGUGGAGCCUUGGGGGAUGAUGAGGUCAUGAGAGUGGGGCCCCGACGAGUGGUAUUGGUGCCCCUAUAAAGACCCCACAGAGCUCUUUCAUCCCUGUAACCAGUGAGCGUAUUGCAGGAGGAGAGCAGUGCGUGAACCAGGACGUGGGGCUCUCCCCUGACACCGGAUGUCCCAGCGACUUGGUCUGGGACUGUGAGAAAUAAACUUCUGUUGUUUCUACACCACCAGUUAGUGGUGGUUUGUUACGGUAGCUUGAACAGAGUAGAACAGGAAGCCAAUGAGGAUUUUACCAGAGACUCUGAAUGGGUCUUCACAGUAUUGCCAAGAGGUUUGUAAGCUGUGUUAGUUACACCCAACUUCAUGUCAAAGUACAUUCUUACACGGCAAUAUCUCUAAUUAUUUAUUAUAACAGCAUGUCAGAUGUGAUUUAGGUUGAUUUGAGAGAAAUGGAAAAAGAGCCAAAGCGAGAAGAAAAAGGGGAAGUACAAAGGGACGAAAAAGGAUAUGUGUAUAUAGCAUCUGCUAUUUAUUGGCAUUUUAGAGCAUUUUCUCUAUGCCAGCUCCUAAUUUUAGCACUUUACAUAAACUGUAUAAUUAACUCUUCAAAACAACUUCAAGAGAUAGGUGUUAAUAUUACUCCAUUUUACAAAUGUGGGUAUUGAGAGACAAAAACACAGGCAACUUGCCCAAGGCCACAGAGCUGGGGAGGGUGAGGAGGUGAACCUUGAAAGUCUAGCUCUAGAAGUGGACUCCCAGCCACCACAUCAGAUUCCAUUCAGCGUAUGUAAUAAAAGUUAGCAUGGAGGACAUUCACUGAAGUCAGAUAUGGCAAGACAGAAUUAAUACAAGAAAAGGUUACAGGAGGGAAUCGCUUCUGGAUCAACCCAUUUUUUAAUUACCACUAGGUGGCAGUGGUGGCUCAGGGCGUCUUAAUUAUUUUCGGGAGCAAGAGGGUUAAACAAUAGGCCUUGGGGUGAUUGUGGAAUGAGAAACCAUGCAACCUCAGUCAUCAGUAUGAGAUGAUUAUAGAUCAAAUGUGACCCUUCACGGGACCUUUCUGACUCUGGCUUAAGACAAGUCAUGGAAUAUUAUUAAUUAACAUCUUCACCAGUUCUUUCUAUAAACCUCACGAUUUGUCAAUUUGUUACUACAAUUAGUAAAAAUCAUUGUCUUAAUAAAGACAUAAUCCUGUGCCAAGUAUCAUGUAUAUAUAAGUUAAUAAAGGGACUCCAUCUUUUUUCUCCAGGGUCAUUAUCACAAAGAUGACAGUACAACUCAAGGUUAAAGUAAAAUGGCAGUUAUUAGAAAUAUGCAUGGUUUUGGGCUACAAUCAACUGAUAUUUAGCUAGGAAAUCUAGGAUUUACUGAGUGUAAUCACUCUGAGUCCAUGAAGUUCCUGAGAAGGAGAUACUCACAAGAGGCAAACAGAUGAUAAACUAAUUCCCACCCCUUUGUUAGGGUUGACUCCUACUAACUGCCCCCAUUUGGAACUUGCUGGAAGACUGGACAUUCACAGAUGAUCUGAACUCAAGCACCAAGUGGACCUUCUGCCUUCUUUUAGGGCCCUCUUGUUACUGCCAAGUGGUUUGCAAAAUGGAAUAAAUGAGUUUAUCUGGCCGUGCUACUCACUGAGAGCCAUCAGCCAUCAGCAGCUAGCGAGCACUUGAAAAUGUGACUGAGAAACGGCAGUUUUUGGUGAUGAAGAAGGAGAUCUGAUGCUGACUGCUAACAGACUAUGGGACAAGGAGAUGAACCUGCUAAAACCCUCAAGCUCACUGUUCCUCAUUAUUGCUAGAGGCCAAGGGAAAAACGCUGAAUGCACAGAAAAUCAACAACUUUUCUGGAACCUGUUAAAGAAUUGAACUCACGGGACAAAUGGCCACUUCAAAACCUGGGGACAAGUGAAUACUGAGAAAGACAACUGACAUCAGCUUAGCUGGGGCAGAAACCGUAGAAACACUUACAUGGUGAACCCAGAAGAAGCCAGAGGGCCGGGGAGCAGCCCACGUAGGACACAGAGCCAGGCCAGGGAAAAAGAGGGCAACGCCUCGUGCUGGAGAGACUGUGGGGGAAAGCGCAUCGCUUCAGCUCACAGUGCAUUCAUAUCUCUGAACACAAGACGUAUGAGGGGCAGUAGCUAUUUCUCACCACUCCCUGGAUUUUGAGGAUAAACAAGAUAAGGGGAACAUUUCUUAGAUGUUAGUGGUCAAACGGAUAAGGCCUUUGCCUGCGGACUUCAUCAUAAAAAUCCAUUUCUUGAUGAAAGGCACUUACAAAGACCAGCCUCCUGAAAUACCACAUGACAAAUUUACAGAACUCUAUGGUUUUGCGAUUCCUUGCAUCUACUCAUCCAUGGGGAAGAAGCGUGCACAUUCAAAAGCAGCUCCUGGCCACCGUGCUCCAUGCUCCAAACCCUGUGUGUGGCUUUUGUGGCAGUGCCACAUCAUGGGCCGUCAGGGACGCAGUUAUUCUUCCUCAUGAGGGAGUGCUGAGGACCACUGACCGCUGUGAACCCUUUUCCCAGCCAGCAGUCUUCGUUUUCCCUUUGUGUGAUUUUCUGUCACGAUAAAGACAGAGUUUUCACCUUGUUGCAGAACAAUUAGCACCAUGACUUUGUUUCACAAAUUACAGAACUAAUAGAAAUUUGGGCAGUUUUUUUUUUUUUUCCAUCUCUGCCUUGUUUCAUGCUGCUUUACCUAUCAUCUCUGGGGCCUCAAGGAGCCAUAUUAUGAUCCUAUAGAUCCUGGAGCCCGUCGGACUUUGUCUUCUAGCUCAAGUGUUGAAGACUCCAGUGCAGGGAAAGGAGAUGGGUGCAGGUGUAAUCAGAGAGACAGGCUGUUUCUGUAAUUUGUGAGAACUGUCAGAUAUAUAAUUAUAAAUAUAAGGUGCAAGAAGAUGAGAUUAAGAUGCUAUUUGGGGAAAAAGAAAAUCCAGUUAAGGUAUCCCCAGUUUCCAAAGGGAAUAUAUAUUGCCAGAGUAAAAUAAUGGGCAAGAAGGCAGUUUUCGUUAUGCUGUGGCCUUGGCCCCAAACACAAUGCAGAACUCCAUUGCACAGAGACAUAAUCUGCCUGCACCAAGGGCAGGCUUAGGAUCUCUUACCAGUGCAGUUUUGAGGGGAGGGAAUCACUGGGAUUCCCACCCCUGAGUCUCAGAUCUCCCUGCUUGAAUGGCAAGGGUCUGAGGCAACUCUAGCACCAGCUGCAGCCGCUGUGAGGCUCACUCUUCCCACUGUCUCAGUACUGCGAAAUGGUUCUAAAAAGAGAGAAGGCAGCCAAAUGAAACAGAGACGCCUGGGUUUUUGGCGUGUCUCUGCCUUGCCUCUCAAGAUUAUGGAAAAACAGCGUCAGAAGGCAGAAUGGAUAUUUAUGCAUACAAUCUCUAACUCGUUUGAAAGAUAGGCACCCAAGGGCAAUAGUCAGAUUCAUAGAAAAACUCCUCCCCCGUGAAGAUGAGCUGAGCACAGGGUCUGCAAAACAACGUACGUGUAGGUAAGCUCGUCACCAAUUUUACUCAUGUAACGUAGAGCAUUCCGUUUAUAAAUAAUAAUAAAAUAUACAAUACUUUGGUUAUGAA